rnacentral:misc_RNA from 1 species
AAAUGCACAAAUUAAGAACUUGCACAGUCGGCUUUCUCAUUUUUAUCUCUUGGCUGUGUUUUGCAGUCGCGUUUAAAAUGAGCUCAGCUAUUGAUCAUGCGAGUGUCAUAUUUAUGCGAGACUAUGUUCGUCUAUGCAUUUCUGUCGUAGUGAGGAAUUCCGAAGCCACGCUACGGCUCUGAAUAUCUCAUAAUGUUCAUAAACGAAAACAUUU